GUCCAAACCUAAAAAUUUUCAGGACGUUUAGAGGAAAUUGCUCCAAAUAAAGCUCGAACAUGCAAGGCAGUAUGUAAUGAAUGUUCCCAAACAUUUUCAAAAUACUCGAAUUUGAGAAGACACGUUCAAAAAUUUCACAGCGCAAAAGUAGAGCAGCUUACAUCUCCAAAAAUUUAUGCAUACCAGUGUGAACAUUGCAGAAAAAACUUUUCAAAUAUAAAUCACUAUAAAAAUCCUAGGAAAAUUCAUAAUGACCAAAGUAAUGCCGAUAAUCGAAUGACAGUGAAAAAAUGUAGCUUGUGUCAUUUUGAAACCGUGUCAAAAUCAACACUAAAUAUUCAUUUAGGACAAGCACAUGAUAUAGAAAUUUCUACUAAAUCAUUAAAUUUCCUCAACGCAAACGAAUUUGACAGUUGGAAAAAUAACGUAGAGAAGGCCACUUGCGCAAAAUAUGUUAGUAGUCACGGCUCAUAUAAAACUCAAAGUGGUCUUAAAAAUAUAAUGUACGUUUGUCAUCGUUCUGGUUUUUACGUGAAAAAAGGUGAAGGUCUGAGACAUUUGAAAACACAAGGGAGCAACAAAAUCAACGGUAUAUGCCCCUCAGAGAUGCUUGUAAAAAUCCAAGACGAUGGUACCCAUAAUGGGAUUUUUAUUGAAACCCACAUAGGGCAUGAUAAUGAAUUAGGUCAUUUGAAUCUGACAGACUCUCAGAGAAUGGAUUUGGCUUCUAAAAUUGCUUCCAAAGUCCCGUUCGCAUCAAUUUUGGAUGACAUUAGAGAUUCAGUCACUGGCAAUAAUUUGGAAAGAAUGCACUUGCUGUCUAGAAAAGACCUUCAUAAUAUCACUCAAUUAUUUAAUUUAAAUAAUUAAUCUAUGCGGCAUAAAGAUGACGCUAUUAGUAUUGAGGCCUGGGUAAAUCAAGUUAAGGAAAGUGGGACAAUUUUGUUUUAUGAGCCUCAGGGGGCGAAAAGUGAGCGUUACCCUUUUCUGAAAGGUGACGAUUUUGUUAUAAUUAUUAUGCAUCCUGGUCAAUUAGAAAUAUUAAAUAAGUUUUGUGAUGACGGCAUCUGUAUUGACGGAACUCAUGGUCUCAAUGAUUAUGACUUCGAACUCACAACACUAAUGGUAUUAGACGACAUGCGGGAAGGGUUCCCUUGCAGUUUCAUGUUCUCAAAUAGAACGGACGAAGUUGUUAUUCAAAUUUUUUUCGAAGAGAUAAAGGGUAACUUGGGACGUUCAAUUCAGGUACGAGUAUUUAUGUCUGACAUGGCACCGGCUUAUUACAACGCCUGGUUGCAAGUGUUUGGUCCUGCCGAAUUCAAGUAAAUGUUUAUAUAUUUUUAUCAGUAAAUAUCCCAUAUUAUUUACAAACUCACUCAUAGGCUGUUCUGUAUAUGGCAUGUCGACAGAGCAUGGAGAAAAAAUUUAAAUAAAAUUGACGUCAAGAGUCUCAGGUUUGUUUUUCAGAUUUAAGUAUUUUUUAACGUUCAAAACUAGUCGAAUGUCUACAAACAGUUACGAACACUCUUGCAAGAGAGACAUCCUGAAGCAUUUUUGAGGAUGAUGCAAAAUUUAGUGAAUGAGUUAUUGUCUACCCCUCAAACUUCAGAAUUUGGACGUUAUUUUGUGCAAAACUAUGGGGACAAUGUUAAUGCAUGGGCUUAUUGUCAUCGGCUGCAUGCUGGUUUCAACACCAAUAUGCACAUAGAGCGUAUGCACCAUACGAUUAAGUAUUUAUACUUGGAAGGAAAGAAAGCACAUCGCCUCGACAAAUCAAUCAAUAAACUCAUGAAAUUUAUUAAAGACAAACUUUUCGAGAGGCUCAUUAUAAUAAAUAAAGGCAAAAUAUCAACAAAAGUCAAGGAUUUGCGAAGCAAGCACAAAACUAGUGAGAAGUUGGAUACGUCAACUGUUAUGGAAUCUGAAUCCGGUUAUCAGGUUUUGUCUUCAACAUCUAAGGAAAUUUAUAUCGUUGAAGAAAAAAGGUCUGGUUGUAACUGCAAAUUAGUUUGCUCUUCAUGUGAAGUAUGUAUCCAUGCUUAUUCAUGCACCUGUUUGGACAACAGUAUUCGAUGGAACAUGUGUAAACAUAUUCAUUUAUUUGGUUUGCAGAUAUAAAAAAGAUAUCAAAGAAUCACCUACUAUUUCAAAUAGAAUUGAAGAUGAAGAGUGGUGCGUUGUGGUUGUUAACGAAUCUAAUAUCGAAAAGAAAAAAGGAGAAGAACAACUUAUGCAAAUACUGUCUAAAUCUGAUAAAAACUUACCUUUGAAUAAACAAGAUCAAUUGAACACCGAAAAAAAAAAUUGAAAACACUUCAUAUUCAGUUGAUUGAUAAAAUUUCAACUUUUGAAGAACUAGAAAUAUUCAAAAGACAUACAGCGUCCAUUGGCCCUACUUUAGCAGCUGUUCGAAAAAACAACGAACAAAAAAUAACGCUACCUCCAAAUGUACCAAAUGUCCCUCACAAUAAACGGAUAGACCGACAACGGUUUUUCUCUACGAAGAAAAAAAGGAAAAGAACUGCAAAGAUGAGCAAACCAAAUGACGAAGAAGCAAAUACAGAUUAUUAAAAAGUAAUGGAAUCAACAAUACCUAAUUAGUAAUUAUUAAAUGAAACUUAUUCUAUU